AAUUGAAUCAUGGGGACUGAUCUUUCCCGUGCUAUUCUCGUGAUAGUGAAUAAGUCUCAUGAGAUCUGAUGAGUUUAUCAGGGGUUUUCGCUUUUGCUUCUUCCUCAUUUUCUCUUGCUGUUGCCAUGUAAGAAGUGCCUUUCACCUCCUGCCAUGAUUCUGAGGCCUCCCCAGCCAUGUGGAACUGGCCCUUCCAUCUGCCCACGCUGCUCCCAUCUCCUGAUUUGUGAAAUUCAUCAGGUGUGCACCCUUCUAAUGGCUACUCCAAUGAAAACAGUAAAAACCCAUCAAGCCAGACCAAGAGGAGUGACCUACUUAUAUCAGAUUGUGUUAACUUUCCGAGAAGAGACAGACUCAGACCCAGAGAGGAGAACACCAUGUGGAGAUGGAGGCAGAGGUUGGAGUGAUGCACCUACAAGCCAAGGAACACUGUGGAUGGCAGCAGCUGCCAGAAGCCAGGAGAGAGGCAUGGAGCAGGUGCUCCCUCAGAGUCACCAGCAGGAACCAACCCUGCUGACACUUUGAUUUCAAACCUCUGUCUUCCAGAACGGUGAUAGAAUAAAUUUCUGUUGUUUUAAGCCA